rnacentral:lncRNA from 1 species
GCUCCCUAGAGGUCUCGAGAGGCUGAGCAGAUGCAAAGUAUCUGGAGGCGGCCGGAGGGGUUGUCUAAGCCCUACCCCCACCCAGGCUGCGGAGUAUAUGUAAAUCGGAUGCGGAGAAGCCUUUCUUGGGGCCCUGACAGCGGUGGGGCACUUGUCAAGUAUUUGCUAAACUGUCUCGCUAAAGUCCCCAAAGGGAGAAGUUGUAUGGAAUAAGACGUGACUCCCUGGAUGUCCAGAGAGAAGCUUGACGCACACAUAAAUUGGCUGGUUGGGCGGGGCCAGGCUCUUUAAGACUCCCUGAGGGGCUGGACAUAUGUAAAUCAUUUCAGGCGGGGCAAGAGGGGGUUCCCAGUGGCUUACAAACCCGGUACGCGUAAAUAAACUGGACUUGAAAUU